rnacentral:rRNA from 1 species
AUACGUAGGUGACAAGCGUUAUCCGGAUUUACUGGGUGUAAAGGGCGUGUAGGCGGUUUAGCAAGUCAGAAGUGAAAUUCCCGGGCUUAACUUGGGCGCUGCUUCUGAAACUGCUUUACUUGAGUGCUGGAGAGGAUAGUGGAAUUCCUAGUGUAGCGGUAAAAUGCGCAGAUAUUAGGAGGAACACCGGUGGCGAAGGCGGCUAUCUGGACAGUAACUGACGCUGAGGCGCGAAAGCACGGGGAGCAAACAGGAUUAGAUACCCUGGUAGUCCGUGCCGUAAACGAUGAAUACUAGGUGUAGGGGGUAUCGACUCCCUCUGUGCCGCAGUUAACACAUUAAGUAUUCCACCUGGGGAGUACGGCCGCAAGGUUGAAACUCAAAGGAAUUGACGGGG